ensembl:lncRNA
UUUCCAUUUACAUAUUGGUCGAACCUUUACCAAGUGAAGAACUAGUCAAAGGCUUCCACAGAGUACAGAUGAAGAAAACACUCAGUGUUUGUAAUUAAAUCAAGAGGUCACGUAACAAUAGUUGCGUUAAUCACCUGAUAUAAUACAAAAGUGACAGUUAAAUAGUCCAAUACAUUAACACUUAUAAGCUAUGGUUUGUAUUUUCAUGCAGGGAAUUUACAUUAAAUGAAGGACCUUUAGGUAUCUUAACAUCAGCUCCUUACUCCAGCUACUUUCAGUGGAGCUGUCUGUCCAAAAUCACUGAGCACUUCAUCACCUGACUUUAUGGACGUUAGCAUACACACAAUCAGUUCCUGUUGGUUCAGGCCUCCGAGGUCGCUUUGCAGACUUGACUUGGCCGUACUCCACCUCCGCUUUUUUCUCAGCUUGGUUUGCCGGCCUUUUGACAAACCUGACAUCACCAAAGACCUCCUGGUCAUCUUCUUCCUCUGCAGAGUAACAAGAAGCGAUAGUUCAUGUAUAGUAUUAAAAUAAGUGAAUGAUGAAAGGAAUACAAAGACAGGAGAUAAUGUAAAAUGAUUCACACAAAAUAUGACUUUUAAAAUGGGGUCUUUAGCAAGCUUUAGAGUUUAUAGUUUGUGGUUUUUGUUUCCUUUGGACAGAGCUGUUUUCCCAGUUUAUGUCUUAAAUGUAGCAGGAUAGCAGUAUCUGCAUAUUUAACUGAUAUAUGACAAAGUUAUCAAUAAACUCUUGACAAGAAAUCAAAAUGUAUUUAAAACGCUUAAAUACAUUUUGCAAAAUAAGUGAUGAAAUCAAGUGUACCCUUUUUUGUAGGUUUGCUGUUUUGUUUUUUCCUCCAAGCACAUAUGACUGCUACACCAACAACCAAGAAAAUUACCAGAACUGAGAGAACACCACCUAUCAGUGGCAAAUUUCCUGUUUUAAAAAUAUAAGACACAAAACACCCAGUAGGUUGAGUCAGAAAAUAUGUAUUUUUUUAUGAAGACAAAAUAAGUGAAGGUGAAAAUUACAGUUUACAAUUACAGUAAUCUACAGUAAUAGAAUUACUUUUUACUUACUAAUAUACCAUGGCUCAUCACUGAUGGCAGUUUCUUUUUUCUUACCCACAGAAGUCUGUUUUGGUUGCGUACACAGGGUGUUAUUAGCUUUAUACACCCACCUUAAUAUCUGUGUCCCAUUGACAGAAGUACAGUUAAUAUAAAUAUAACCUAUGAGCAAAAAAACACAUAAAGAUGUGCAAAGUUAGCAUAUUAAUUAAUUAGUAAUUAUAUAGUAGUAAUUAUAAUUAUAUAAUUUUAUAUAUAUAUAUCAGAUUAUUUAUAUUGUUCUCACUCACCACAGGUAGAUAUUCUCUCCUCUUUGAAGACAUUACUGACAUUGUUCCUGACUGAGCAGACCAGAUUUCCUGAGACGUGCUGUUUCAGAGUGAUGAUGUUACUCUCAUGAUUUCCAGAAAGGAGCUCAGCAUCUGUCAGUGUGCGUCCAUCCAGAGUCCAGCUGUACUGAGGAUUGUUCGCUCUCUCAGAGGAGCAGGACACCCUCCUCUCUCCCUGGGACAGACACUCAGAGACCAGCAGGACAGAGGACACAGGAGCUGAGAGAAACACACGCAGAUGCGUUUUUUUUUUUUUUAUUGGUAUCUUGGUCAUUCUUUAUAGUCUCUAAUGAGAAACAGGGAAUGCACAAAACACAUGUAUCUGAAAUUUUGUGAACAAUGUUACCAAAACAUUACUUUACUAUUAAUGGCUUAAUUUCCCAACAUUUACCUUGAAUAAACAACUGCAAAGUCUGCUCGCCUGAUGAUGUUCCAUCUAAAUUAAAUGUUUGAAGGGUAUAUUUACCACUGUCGUUCCUGCUCAGGUUAUUGACCCUAAAUGUUCCAUUGCUGAGAAAAAGGGUAUAUCUAUCUCCUAUGGUAUUAGAAAUAACCUUAUUUUUUCUCACAUCUAGUAUUUUUAAUGUAUUCUUUGAAAGUUGGUAUCUAGGCAUUUCUGAAGUGCUGUCUAUCAGCUGGAUGUCCACAGUUCCUCCCAAAGGUCCAUAACACUGAGCUCCAUCCUGUCUGCCAUCACAGUAAGUUUUGAAACCUGAAAAUUAAAAAGGAAAAUUUGAAUGUUUAUUUCCAACCAGUGAAGAUGUGGCAACAUUUGCAAAUGUCUACCCAAACCAGAGAUGAUGGUUUGUGCCCACUGUCUGUCGCAGAUAAACAUUGCACAGGUCUGUGACUCACAGUUAAGGUUCAGCUAGCAGCACUAUUUUUCUUGUGCUGAUGAAUAUUUACAAACUACACCUACAAAAUCACAAAUUCAAAUUAUACAGUUAUUAAUUGAAUUCAUUUUGCUGCUUUAGGGUUCUGUUGAUGAAAUGUGUUGUCUUUUUGUUAUGCCAUCAUAGUCUUACUUCAUUUUUAUUGCUGAAAGCAGGCUGUGCUUUUCUUUUUGUCUUUUUAGGUCAAACAGCAAUCCCAACAGAUUUUUUUCCCAAGUGGAUCAUUACAACUUUUGCUAUACUGGUCCACUUGAGAAUUAUAUCUUAUUAGAAUUUCAUUAGGAUUUUUUAAAUUUUGGGUUAUUACAAUCAGAUCGGACCAGACCAGGGGACAAGAAAGAAGAAAGAGAGAGAAGUUGGGAAGAAAGUUAACAGAAGAAGAGGGAAAGAAAAAUAGGGGUGGGUAUCCUAGUAUCCCCUCGGCUUGCUGCCUGUAGGUCGGGGUUUCUCCGCGUGGACGAGAAGGUUUGUUCCCUGCCCCUUCGGGUCGGGUAGCGAGUCCUGACUGUUAUCUGCGCUUAUGCGCCGAGUAGCGGUUCAGAGUACCCAGCCCUCUUGGAGUCCCUGGACGGGAUGCUUGAGGGUGCUUCACCUAGGGACUCUGUUGUUCUACUGGGAAACUUCAGCGCUCAAGUGGGCAACGACAGUGACAUCUGGAGGGGUUUGAUUGGGAAGAAUGGCCUCCCGGAUCUGAACCUGAACGGUGUUUUGUUGUUGGAUUUCUGUGCAAACCACAGUUUGUCCAUAACGAACACAAUGUUUGAACAUAAGAGUGUUCAUAAGUGCAUGUGACACCGGGACACCCUAGGCCGCAGGUCAAUGAUCGAUUUUGUAAUCGUAUCACCAGACCUGCGGCCAUAUGAUUUGGACACUGGGGUAAAGAGAGGGGCUGAGCUGUCGUGGGUGAUGGACUCCGCCAGGGCUGCCCUUUGUCACCGAUUCAGAAUUUCUAGGCAUAGCCAAGUGGCGGAAGGCUUUCACUUGAGUGGCCUCAGAAACUCAUCUCUGCUUUUCGUAGAUAUUGUGGUUCUGUUGGCUUCAUCAGGUGAUGGCCUGCAGCUCGCACUGGAACAGUUCGCAGCCCAGUGUGAAGCGGUGGGAAUGAGAAUUAGCACGUCUAAAUCUGAGGCCAUGGUUCUCAGCCAGAAAAGGGUGGAGGGCCCACUCCGGGUCAGGGACGAGUUCCUGUCCCAAGUGGAGGAGUUCAAGUAUCUCGGAGUCUUGUUCAUGAGUCACGGGAGAAGGGAGUGGGAGAUCGCAGUGAUGUGGUCACUGUACUGGAGAGCUGAGUGUAAACCGGUAAAGAUCUCUAUUUACCGGUCGAUCUACGUCCCUACCCUUACCUAUGGUCACAAGCUCGCCACACACAACUCCGCACAGCACACUCUCGUAUGGCUUCAGCAGACUGGCAGUGAUUACUGUAGCCAGCCUCAUCUAACAGGCCACACCAAGAGGGGUGGCGCUGUUUCCCCAUUGCACUGACUUUUGUGGCAAGUAGAAUGAUACCAUAUAAAUAUGUAUAUAGUAGUACAUAGCAUAUGCAAAGAAAGGGAAGUUUCUUCAUGCUCUGGUAAAAAACAAAAAAAACAAAAACAAAACACUGCACAGACGUGUUUGCAUAGAUUUACCUAUCUAUUUACCUAUAAGAUAAGUUAUGUAGUUUAUAAGUUAAUUGCAUCAAUAUUGGUAUUGGUAUCAGCAAUACUGGACCUGUGACCUUGAUAUUGUAUCAUACAUCAGAAUCAGAAUCAGCAUACUUUAUUAAUCCCUGAGGAAAUUAUGUGCAGAAAAUGUGCACAAAAUGUGCAGUAUUGCACAGCACUGCUUAAGACUUGGUGAUUUAAAAAACAGGCCUGUGUUAAGCGGUGCAGUGUAAAAAUGUGUACCAACAUAAUGUGUAUAAAAUUAGCAAAUAUAUCAUCAGUUCAUUUCAGCCGGUGUAUCCCACUUUUAAUCUUAUUUGAUUUAAAAUUGUCAGACAUGAUUUCAAGGAGGAACUGGUGGACAAUGAUGUGGUGAGCAGCUUGUCAGAAACUGGAAAAAUGUCGAAGGAUUAUGACGCAACCAAAAUCUUUUCAUUUUCAAAAACUUUAGAAGUCCACUCUCAGUUAUAUAACAGGUUUACGCCAAGCAGAAACAAGCAGCAACAUUUAGAGGAGAUCAAAGACGCAGCGUCCGUGUGUCUUUGCAUCGAUAAGUCAUAUUGUGUUCAACAUGUCUUUGGCUAAAUGUAGCCUUUCCCCUUCCCACUCUCUUUUUUUAACAAUGGCUGGAAACAUGUUAUUGAUUAUAAAAUUAAUUAUUAAUCAGGGAAAAUAUGACAAAAUAAGUUUAGUAACUCACCAUGAGAGACUCUAAGCAACACCAGCAACAGUGCAACUACAGCUUCCAUGUCUGCACAGUGUUCGGCCUGUGUUGUUCCAGUCAGCAGCUUUUCCCUCAAAAACAAAGGUGGGUGUGGUGCUCUGAACGGACUCCAACGUGUUAGUAAUCAGCCUCAGAGGUGAGCCAGUGAAAAUGUUGGCAUCCGGUACUGUAGUCGUACUCAUAUUCAUGCAUUGAGGGGGAAAAAGGAAGUGGUAUUGGUUUUCCUUCCUCUUUUAGCUUUCAAGAAAAAAGAUUCAUGUGUGAUGGAUUGCGAGGAAGGGAGGAGAAGCAUUUAUUAUUUAUUACACAGUGAUGUUUUGAGAAUGCCUAAAAUAUAAAUCGGCCAUUAAAAAAAUAAUCUAUUCAUCUAUAAACACUGUAAUGAACAAAAAAACAACAAAAAAAAAAAACAUGUCUAACCCGUGCCAAACAGGUCACCCAGCACAUUGUCUGUUUACACACACUGUGCAGUUUAGCAGUUAACUCCAUGUUUAAAAUCUAAGAUUACAGAAUAAAGUAUAGAGAGUUGUAAAAUGUAAGUUGAAAUUAAAUAAUGGUUCAGGUUUAUCUUUAAAACUUAAAAAGGUGUCAUUUCAGGUAUUUAACAUGUGAGGUAUAACUGUACAAAUCUUAACAAGACGUAUAAUCCACCAAAGUAUGUCACCCAUAAACUGUAACAACUACAAUGAAGUUGGAUUUCAGUUCUUAUGAUUUCAUUUUAGAACCUAAACAUUGAAGGAAUAACACAAUGACAACUGUUCUUUCAUACAAUGGCACUCUCUCCUGGAACAGAAUAAUAAUACAGCUUCAAACUUGCCCAGUUACACCUUUGUUUCCAUGAACACUGACAACAAUUAGUUAUGUGGGAUUAUUUUUCUUUGUUUGUUUGUCCAUGCCCUCUGUCCAUGAUAAAUUAUAUUUGGCCAUUUUUUACACUGGUUAACAUAGUGAGAAUAAUAAUAUUGAUAUUAUUCUGUCAUCAAUCUGAGAACCCCUUAUUGCCUAGUAUAUCAUAUUUGAUACAUACAGGGUUUUUCUAAGUUUUUUCUAAAAUUCUACAUCAUCCGUGUGAUUUUUUUCCUGUGAAAACCCUAAAUAAAUUGCACAAUACACUUUUAAGCAAUUGAAACUCUCAACUUUCAAACAAUUAAAAUUUUUUGGGCAGUUAUCUCAUGGUUCAGUUUUUAAAGGGUUAACAUUUUGUCAGCUCUCUUGUAUUGACUUCUUGUACUGACCUGUUUGUAUAUGAUGGCUUCACAGUGGUCAGAUGCACUGAGAUGUAUUACAAUCAGUGUCAGAUCUCAUCACAAUGUCAUUCUGUUUAGUUAAAGACUCGAGUUUCACGAUGUUUUGUUACUGAAGAUGCUUGUCAUAAUGUUCACAGCAAUGCAAAGGAAGUACACAUACUGUACAAGCUGAUAAAAUAUGUGCAGCCACACUGUGCUAUUCA